GAUGAACGCUGGCGGCGUGCCUAAUACAUGCCAGUCGAGCGAACAGACGAGGAGCUUGCUCCUCUGACGUUAGCGGCGGACGGGUGAGUAACACGUGGAUAACCUACCUAUAAGACUGGGAUAACUUCGGGAAACCGGAGCUAAUACCGGAUAAUAUAUUGAACCGCAUGGUUCAAUAGUGAAAGACGGUUUUGCUGUCACUUAUAGAUGGAUCCGCGCCGCAUUAGCUAGUUGGUAAGGUAACGGCUUACCAAGGCAACGAUGCGUAGCCGACCUGAGAGGGUGAUCUGCCACACUGGAACUGAGACACGGUCCAUACUCCUACGGAAGGCAGCAGUAGGGAAUCUUCCGCAAUGGGCGAAAGCUUGACGGAUCAACGCCGCGUGAGUGAUGAAGGUCUUCGGAUCGUAAAACUCUGUUAUUAGGGAAGAACAAAUGUGUAAGUAACUAUGCACGUCUUGACGGUACCUAAUCAGAAAGCCACGGCUAACUACGUG
rnacentral:rRNA from 1 species